AUUGAACGCUGGCGGCAUGCCUUACACAUGCAAGUCGAACGGUAACAGGUCUUCGGAUGCUGACGAGUGGCGAACGGGUGAGUAAUACAUCGGAACGUGCCUAGUAGUGGGGGAUAACUACUCGAAAGAGUGGCUAAUACCGCAUGAGAUCUACGGAUGAAAGCAGGGGAUCGAAAGACCUUGUGCUACUAGAGCGGCCGAUGGCAGAUUAGGUAGUUGGUGGGAUAAAAGCUUACCAAGCCGACGAUCUGUAGCUGGUCUGAGAGGACGAUCAGCCACACUGGGACUGAGACACGGCCCAGACUCCUACGGGAGGCAGCAGUGGGGAAUUUUGGACAAUGGGCGCAAGCCUGAUCCAGCAAUGCCGCGUGCAGGAUGAAGGCCUUCGGGUUGUAAACUGCUUUUGUACGGAACGAAAAGCCCUGGGUUAAUACCCUGGGGUCAUGACGGUACCGUAAGAAUAAGCACCGGCUAACUACGUGCCAGCAGCCGCAGUAACAC
rnacentral:rRNA from 1 species